rnacentral:rRNA from 1 species
GUCUACGGUCAUGCCACUCCGAAUGUGCCCAAUCUCAUCUGAUCUCGGAAGCUAAGCAGGGUCGGGCCUGGUUAGUACUUGGAUGAGAGAGACCACCUAGGAAGACCAGGUGCUGUAGGCA